rnacentral:rRNA from 1 species
UGGGGAAUAUUGGACAAUGGGCGCAAGCCUGAUCCAGCAAUGCCGCGUGGGUGAAGAAGGUCUUCGGAUCGUAAAGCCCUUUCGACAGGGACGAUGAUGACGGUACCUGUAGAAGAAGCCCCGGCUAACUUAGUGCCAGCAGCCGCGGUAAUACGAAGGGGGCUAGCGUUGCUCGGAAUUACUGGGCGUAAAGGGCGCGUAGGCGGCUUGGCCAGUCAGGCGUGAAAUUCCGGGGCUUAACCUGGGGACUGCGCUUGAUACUGCCAGGCUCGAGGCCGAGAGAGGGUGGUGGAAUUCCCAGUGUAGAGGUGAAAUUCGUAGAUAUUGGGAAGAACACCGGUGGCGAAGGCGACCACCUGGCUCGGUACUGACGCUGAGGCGCGACAGCGUGGGGAGCAAACA